CCCUUCGAUGUUCUGGGCCGCACGCGCGCUACACUGAUCGGGUCAACAAGUUUACAACCUGCUCCGAGAGGACUGGGUAAUCUUUUGAAACCCGAUCGUGAUAGGGAUAGAUGAUUGCAAUUAUUUGUCUUGAACGAGGAAUGCCUAGUAGGGUCGGUUCAACAGAUCGACCCGAUUACGUCCCUGCCCUUUGUACACACCGCCCGUCGCUCCUACCGAUUGGGUGAUCCGGUGAAUAAUUCGGACCUGCGAGCCUUGCGGUUCGCUGCUUGGCUUGUGGGAAAGUCUAGUGAACCUUAUCACUUAGAGGAAGGAGAAGUCGUAACA
rnacentral:rRNA from 1 species